UAUAGUUUGUUAACAAGACAUUUGUGGAGUGGUUGAAAAACAACUUUUAAUGACUCCAACCUCAGUGUAUAUAAACGUCAGACUUCUAGUGUAGCUACGCUGUACUGUUUGUCCUCAUGUGUCUGUUAAUGUUUUUCAGUAUAAAGUACUCUGCAGCCACUUAGUGUGGACACCAGGUUAUAUCAGCUGUGUUGGUGAACCCCUCCCUCAUCUGAACUGGCUACACGGAGGGCACAGCAGGAUCAGAGGUAUGUUUUGAUGUGCGAGAGGAUGCCAACCCCCAGUCCCGUCAUCACCAUCUCACCCGCUCUACGAUAACCUUCGGGCCAACUGGGGACCCAAGGCUCACCCGCUCUAAGAUAACCU